rnacentral:rRNA from 1 species
CCUAUCCUACGGGAGGCAGCAGUGAGGAAUAUUGGUCAAUGGGCGGAAGCCUGAACCAGCCAAGUCGCGUGAGGGAAUAAGGCCCUACGGGUCGUAAACCUCUUUUGCCGGGGAGCAAGGGCGGGGACGUGUCCCGGCCCGGAGAGUACCCGGAGAAAAAGCAUCGGCUAACUCCGUGCCAGAAGCCGCGGUAAUACGGAGGAUGCGAGCGUUAUCCGGAUUUAUUGGGUUUAAAGGGUGCGCAGGCGGCCUGUUAAGUCAGCGGUAAAAGCCCGGGGCUCAACCCCGGCGAGUCGUUGAAACUG